UUAAUGUGUAUGGUUUUCUCACUCUUUUUCAUGAUAAAUUGUGUUUUAAUAUAGGUUAUUGCAUUAAAGUCACAAUUGGAUGAACAAAAUAAAAGAUAUGAAGAACGUGAAAAAAGAUAUGAAGAACAUGAAAAAAGAUUUGAGAUAAUGAUGAAUUUUUUCUUUCAAAGUUAUCAAGGUCAAUUGCCUCCUGAGUUGACUAUGUUCAAUCGUUCAUCGGUAAUGUUUAAAAAAUUCAAAUAACUUGUUUUUAUUUUUCAGAUUUACAUUUCUAAUUGUGAUAUAUGUUUAUAUUGUAGGUGUCUGAUCAAGGAAGUGUGCCAAAAAAUUAGGAAGGCAAAACCAAAACCAUAAUAAUAAUGCACCAAACACACUCAUUCAACAAAUAAAGAAUUCAUGUGGGAUUAGAACGUGAUCAAAACCGAUCCUGCAGUCAUAUACUGGUUUUAUCUUGUUCAUUAAUGAGUUUAAACUGGUAUUAAUGAGUUUAAAUUUUGUGGAAAAAAUGAAAAUUUUGUUGGAUUACUUCUUAUUUUGCUUUAA
rnacentral:lncRNA from 1 species